ACAAGUACCGUGAGGGAAAGUUGCAAAGCACUUUGAAGAGAGAGUUAAAGAGGACGUGAAACCGAUGAGGUGGAAACGGACAGAGCUGGCGUAUCUGGCCUGCAUUCAGCCGCGGGCUCGCUGGCGUCAGGGAUGCCGCUCUCCAGAUUGGGACGGUGGCCUGUCUGCUGGCGGGUUUGUGGUGCAUUUGCAGGUGGAGUGCGCCGAGGCGCUCGGUGCAGCUGCACGAACUCGGUUCUGAGGCCAGCCCUUCACGGGGUCUGGUACCCGGGCCGGGGGAGUGCUGUUUGCGCUGGGUGUGCAAGUGGGCAAUGGUCUCGGGCUUGUGUGGGUGCCGAGCUGGCGGUCGGUGGCGGUCGCGUGCGACACGUGCCAGCAGUCAGUUCGGUCCUGCGCGAGCUCACAUCUGCUCGUCCUCGGUGUAAAAGCCGGUCAUCUGUCCGACCCGUCUUGAAACACGGACCAAGGAGUUUAGCGUGUGCGCGAGUCAUUGGGCGUUGAAAACCCAAAGGCGCAAUGAAAGUGAAGGUCUCCCUCGUGGAGCUGAUGUGUGAUCCUGGACACUGCGGUGUGCCGGGCGCAACAUAGUCCCGUCCGCGCCGCAUGCGGUGGGGCGGAGACAGAGCGUACGCGCUGAGACCCGAAAGAUGGUGAACUAUUCCUGAGCAGGAUGAAGCCAGAGGAAACUCUGGUGGAAGUCCGAAGCGAUUCUGACGUGCAAAUCGAUCGUCUGACUUGGGUAUAGGGGCGAAAGACUAAUCGAACCAUCUAGUAGCUGGUUCCUUCCGA
rnacentral:rRNA from 1 species